UACGAAGGGGGCUAGCGUUGUUCGGAAUCACUGGGCGUAAAGGGCGCGUAGGCGGCUUUGUAAGUCGGGGGUGAAAGCCUGUGGCUCAACCACAGAAUUGCCUUCGAUACUGCAUGGCUUGAGACCGGAAGAGGUAAGUGGAACUGCGAGUGUAGAGGUGAAAUUCGUAGAUAUCGGGAGGAACACCGGCGGCGAAAGGCGGCCUUCUGGACGAGGACUGACGCUGAGACGCGAAAGCGUGGGGAGCAAACAGG
rnacentral:rRNA from 1 species